rnacentral:rRNA from 1 species
CCUACGGGUGGCAGCAGUGGGGAAUAUUGGACAAUGGGGGCAACCCUGAUCCAGCCAUGCCGCGUGUGUGAAGAAGGCCCUCGGGUUGUAAAGCACUUUCAGUGAGGAAGAACGCCUGGUGGUUAAUACCCAUCAGGAAAGACAUCACUCACAGAAGAAGCAACGGCUAACUCCGUGCCAGCAGCCGCGGUAAUACGGAGGGUGCGAGCGUUAAUCGGAAUUACUGGGCGUAAAGCGCGCGUAGGUGGCUUGAUAAGCCGGUUGUGAAAGCCCCGGGCUCAACCUGGGAACGGCAUCCGGAACUGUCAAGCUAGAGUGCAGGAGAGGAAGGUAGAAUUCCCGGUGUAGCGGUGAAAUGCGUAGAGAUCGGGAGGAAUACCAGUGGCGAAGGCGGCCUUCUGGACUGACACUGACACUGAGGUGCGAAAGCGUGGGUAGCAAACAGGAUUAGAUACCCCAGUAGUC